AUCCGCAGUGUAUUUCCUCGCAUCUACCAUCCCUUUUCUACGCCUCUCUCCCUCUCUCUCUUUCUCCAUCAAAUCUUGUUUUGUUCAAACUCUCUCUCUCUCAUCUAUUCUCUCCAUACAAUACAUGAAUAUACAUACAUACCAUCAUCUUCUUUUCCCAUCUCUAGUUUUUCAUCAAUCUUCUGAUGUUCCAAACGCUCUAUCUCUUCAUAUACAUACAUACGAAUAUAUUAUUGUUGUCAUAGAUCCAUUUAGAAUCACUUUAGCUUUUAGAUGAGAUCUAGGGUUUCUUUGUUUUCUUUCAAAUUUUGUUGCAUAUUCUUCUAAAUCAUGGUUUUUCGCUUGCUAGGUUAUAGAUCCAUGCAAAUAUGGAGUAGAUGUACAAACACACGCUCGGACGC
rnacentral:misc_RNA from 1 species